UGGGGAAUUUUGCACAAUGGGGGAAACCCUGAUGCAGCGACGCCGCGUGAUUUAGAAGGCCUUCGGGUUGUAAAAAUCUUUUCUAUGGGAAGAAAAUGACAGUACCAUAGGAAUAAGGACCGGCUAAUUACGUGCCAGCAGCCGCGGUAAUACGUAAGGUCCGAGCGUUGUCCGGAAUCAUUGGGCGUAAAGGGUACGUAGGCGGGUAAGCAAGUUAGAAGUGAAAUCCUAUAGCUCAACUAUAGUAAGCUUUUAAAACUGCUCAUCUUGAAGUAUGGAAGGGAAAGUGGAAUUACUAGUGUAGCGGUGAAAUGCGCAGAUGAUAGGAGGAAUACCGGUGGCGAAGGCGGCUUUCUGGCCAUAACCUGACGCUGAGGUACGAAAGCGUGGGUAGCAAACAGG
rnacentral:rRNA from 1 species